AAUAGAUACCCGGGUAGUCCAUGCCGUAAACGAUGUCUACUAGCCGUUGGGGCCCUUGAGGCUUUAGUGGCGCAGCUAACGCGAUAAGUAGACCGCCUGGGGAGUACGGGUCGCAAGACUAAAACUCAAAUGAAUUGACGGGGGCCCGCGACAAGCGGUGGAGCAUGUGGUUUAAUUCGAUGCAACGCGAAGAACCUUACCUGGCCUUGACAUACAGAGAACUUUCCAGAGAUGGAUUGGUGCCUUCGGGAACUCUGAUACAGGUGCUGCAUGGCUGUCGUCAGCUCGUGUCGUGAGAUGUUGGGUUAAGUCCCGCAACGAGCGCAACCCUUUUCCUUAUUUGCCAGCACUUCGGGUGGGAACUUUAAGGAUACUGCCAGUGACAAACUGGAGGAAGGCGGGGACGACGUCAAGUCAUCAUGGCCCUUACGGCCAGGGCUACACACGUGCUACAAUGGUCGGUACAAAGGGUUGCUACUGCGCGAGCAGGUGCUAAUCUCAAAAAGCCGAUCGUAGUCCGGAUCGCAGU
rnacentral:rRNA from 1 species